AACGAACGCUGGCGGCAUGCCUAACACAUGCAAGUCGAACGAGACCUUCGGGUCUAGUGGCGCACGGGUGCGUAACGCGUGGGAACCUGCCCUUAGGUUCGGAAUAACUCCCCGAAAGGGGUGCUAAUACCGGAUAAUGUCUUCGGACCAAAGAUUUAUCGCCUUUGGAUGGGCCCGCGUUGGAUUAGCUAGUUGGUAGGGUAAAGCCUACCAAGGCGACGAUCCAUAGCUGGUCUGAGAGGAUGAUCAGCCGCACUGGGACUGAGACACGGCCCAGACUCCUACGGGAGGCAGCAGUGGGGAAUAUUGGACAAUGGGCGAAAGCCUGAUCCAGCAAUGCCGCGUGAGUGAUGAAGGCCUUAGGGUUGUAAAGCUCUUUUACCCGGGAUGAUAAUGACAGUACCGGGAGAAUAAGCUCCGGCUAACUCCGUG
rnacentral:rRNA from 1 species